rnacentral:rRNA from 1 species
UACGAAGGGGACUAGCGUUGUUCGGAUUUACUGGGCGUAAAGCGCGCGUAGGCGGAUCACUAAGUCAGGGGUGAAAUCCCGAGGCUUAACCUCGGAACUGCCUUUGAUACUGGUGAUCUGGAGAUUGGGAGAGGUUGGUGGAAUUCCGAGUGUAGAGGUGAAAUUCGUAGAUAUUCGGAGGAACACCAGAAGCGAAGGCGGCCAACUGGCCCAAUACUGACGCUGAGGCGCGAAAGCGUGGGGAGCAAACAGG